rnacentral:rRNA from 1 species
UACGUAGGGUGCGAGCGUUGUCCGGAAUUAUUGGGCGUAAAGAGCUCGUAGGCGGUGUGUCACGUCGGCCGUGAAAACCUGGGGCUUAACUCUGGGCGUGCGGUCGAUACGGGCAUCACUAGAGUUCGGCAGGGGAGACUGGAAUUCUUGGUGUAGCGGUGAAAUGCGUAGAUAUCAAGAGGAACACCUGCGGCGAAGGCGGGUUGCUGGGCCGACACUGACGCUGAGGCGCGAAAGCCAGGGGAGCGAACGGG